rnacentral:rRNA from 1 species
GAUGAACGCUGGCGGCGUGCCUAAUACAUGCAAGUCGAGCGAACAGACGAGGAGCUUGCUCCUCUGACGUUAGCGGUGGACGGGUGAGUAACACGUGGAUAACCUACCUAUAAGACUGGGAUAACUUCGGGAAACCGGAGCUAAUACCGGAUAACAUGUUGAACCGCAUGGUUCAACAGUGAAAGACGGUCUUGCUGUCCCUUAUAGAUGGAUCCGCGCCGCAUUAGCUAGUUGGUAAGGUAACGGCUUACCAAGGCAACGAUGCGUAGCCGACCUGAGAGGGUGAGCGGCCACACUGGAACUGAGACACGGUCCAGACUCCUACGGGAGGCAGCAGUAGGGAAUCUUCCGCAAUGAGCGAAAGCCUGACGGAGCAACGCCGCGUGAGUGAAGAAGGUCUUCGGAUCGUAAAACUCUGUUAUUAGGGAAGAACAAAUGUGUAAGUAACUAUGCACGUCUUGACGGUACCUAAUCAGAAAGCCACGGCUAACUACGUGCCAGCCGCCGCGGUAA